rnacentral:rRNA from 1 species
UACGUAGGGACCGAGCGUUGUCCGGAUUCAUUGGGCGUAAAGAGCUCGUAGGCGGCUGCUCAAGUCGAAUGUGAAAACUCGAGGCUACAACCUCGAGCCUGCCAUUCGAUACUGGGCGGCUAGAGUCUGGUAGGGGGAUCUGGAAUUCCUGGUGUAGCGGUGGAAUGCGCAGAGUAAUCAGGAGGAACACCGGUGGCGAAGGGCG